rnacentral:rRNA from 1 species
UACCUGGUUGAUCCUGCCAGGUAUGAUAGGCUUGUCUCAAGGACUAAGCCAUGCAUGCCUAAGUUCAUACCUAUACAAGGUGAAACUGCGAAUCGCUCAGUAAAUCAGUUAUUGUUUCUUUGAUCGUACCGAGAUGUGUGCUAGUGUGUUCCACUGGCCUCAUCACACAUUGGAUAACUCUGGGAAACUAGAGCUAAUACAUGUCAACUGCUAUCACGGGGUAGCGUGCAUUUGUUCGCCCAUUCCAAAACCAACACUGACUGAUCUAAACACACAGAGGGGUGUAAAAACCCCUGGCAACGCUGGCUGGGAUCUGCCAGGGGCGUGCAAGCGUCUCUGGUACGGUUGCUUUCAGCCUGUGUGCGCACGGGUUAGCCAUGUUCACGGUGAUUCUGAAUAACUGAUGCUGAUCGUACAGGGCCAUUGUGCCCACGAUAUUUCAAUCAAAUUCCUGCCCUAUCAUAUUUGUUGGUAGGGUAGCGGCCUACCAAGGUGACGACGGGUAACGGGGAAUCAGGGUUCGAUUCCGGAGAGGGAGCCUGAGAAACAGCUACCACGUCCAAGGAUGGCAGCAGGCGCGCAAACUAUCCAAUCCAGAUUCUGGGAGAUGGUGACGAGACAUAUUGGGACUCACCAGCAUCGCUGGUCGAGUUACCAGAUAGACUACAACCUAAAACAGUGCUAAAAUAAUCAACAGGAGGGCAAGUCUGGUGCCAGCAGCCGCGGUAAUACCAGCUCCUGUGGCCUAUAUGGUCGUUGUUGCGGUUAAAAAGCUCGUAGUCGAAAUACGGUGCGCUCGAAAGCUGCAUCAGUGGUAAGCCUGCCCAGGCUGUGUGGCAUACAUGUCCAUUUGUGCAGCACUGUCUCUCUGUCCACUGUGGGUGCGUGUGUGAUGAUGGUUACGUGCAGGUGUCAAAGCCCGCACGCAUCCCUCUCUUUGCACACUCUCGGUCUAUGUGGUUGAUGGCGUGCACCCACAGAUCAUGGCUGAGAGCUUGUUGUAGUAAUAUAUGGCCAGUCACACUGGCCUGUGUGAUGCAGUUACGCACUGUGGUAGUGUGCCGCUGUCUGUCUUCUUUCGUGUGCCCUCCAYUACAUGCACACUCGUGUGUGUGUGGUGGGGAGUGUGUGGGUGAUGGCCGGCAGUGGCCUGCCAUGGUGUUUUACCAUUGAGACAGCAUUAGAGUGCGCUUUCUCGUCCAGCUUCAGUGCGUGUUUGGCUGCGGGUGAGCGCGCUGUUAUGGCCUCGCGUCAUGUACAGGCGUAUCUAAAUCACUGCGCCUCAUUACUUUCAUAUCCUUCACUGGAUACACUGAACGCUGAGCGAAUUGUGCCUUGAGUAAAAUAGAGUGCUCAAAGCAGGCUAGGCAUGUAACAGUGUCAUUGCCCGUAUACUCCAGCAUGGAACGAAUGUCCAAUUGCUUGAACCACCCUGCGGCCUGGUUUGUUGGUUGAAAGCGUGAGUGUGUGCGGUAAGACGUACAUGCUUGCGCUUCGGUGCAUAUGUGUGGUGUGUGUGAUUAUGUGUCCGACUCUGUGUGUGUGAACUCCAGGCCGUAUCCGCAAAUGUGUGUACCCGAGAUAUUAUUGUAUAAAUGUAUGUAGGCAGGACCAGUGUGUGUAUAAUUGUAUAGCGUCAUGUUCUCGCCCUCAUGUGUGAGGGUGCACAUGGCGUGUCGUGUGGUAUGAAAUAUAAUGUGAUCGUGCGUGCUACGGCCCUGCCUUUACUUGCGUGUUCGCACACACGGUUAUGUGCAGUGUGUGUCGCGUGAGAGUGAGCCCCAUAUUAUUAUAUGGAUCACUGGCAUGAGGACGUACACGCGUUAUGCGAGCGCUUACCCUCGACUCACUCUGUGUAUUUGUAUGUGUGCAUGUGCCUGCAGCGUAUAGCUGGCAUGGUGCGUGCACCGGCACCUGCCCCGGGAACAAUACCACUUGUGCGUAUGGGUAUCGGUUAACAGAGACAUUUGGGGGCAUUGGUAUUUGGCCGCGAGAGGUGAAAUUCUGAGACCGGUCAAAGACUGACGAUUGCGAAAGCAUCUGCCAAAGGUGUCUUCAUUGACCAAGAACGACAGUUAGGGGAUCGAAGAUGAUCAGAUACCGUCGUAGCCUAACUGUAAACUAUGCCAACCAGGGCUCAGGCCGGAUCGUGUAUAUUGAAAUAGAAUUUCAUAUAACUUUGAUCCAGGUUGGGCCCCCCGGGAAACCUAAAGUGUGUGGGUUCCGGGGGGAGUAUGGUUGCAAGGCUGAAACUUUAAGGAAUUGACGGAGAGGGCACCACCAGGAGUGGAGCCUGCGGCCUAAUUUGACUCAACACGGGGAAUCUCACCAGGUCCGGACAUCGGAAGGAUUGACAGACUGAUAGAUCUUUCAUGAUUCGGUGAAUGGUGGUGCAUGGCCGUUCUUGGUUGGUGGAGUGAAUUUGUCUGGUAUAUUCCGUGAACGAGCGCAACCACAGCCUCUUAAUUUGGCUGUACGAAAGGCUACUGCCCUGCGUGUGGUGGUGUUAACGCACACUGUGCGUAGGGUGUGUAUGUGAUUUUCCCCCCAGUCGUGGUGGUACGAUAAGUCUCCAUCGUGUGUGUGGCGCAUGGGUGUGGGUCUCUGUGAGACGUGUGUGUGUUGUUGGUGGAUAUCUAACGCUGCCGUGCUGCGUCAGCAUGUAUGCUGGCAAUGGACUAGAUGGCAAUCGUGAUGACUUGCCAGACUGUCCUGUUGUACUGUGUUGGUGAGUGUGUGCGGUAGCGGUUCAUUGAUGAUGUGCACAUGUUCUUGCAGUAGGGCGUGCAUCUGUGUGCCUUGUGUGUGGUGGAGAUGUGUCAGAUAUAUGUCGAUUGGUGGGUGUUCGUGCGCCUUCAUAGAGGGACUACCGGUGGCAAAUCGGUGGAAGUGUGGCAAUAGCAGGUCAGUGAUGCCCUUCGAUGUUCUGGGCUGCACGCGUGCUACAAUGGUUACGACAAUGAGUGUGUCUGCGUCGAAAGAUGUGGGUAAUCUUCUCAAUCGUAGCCUUGCUGGGGAUUGAGCCUUGAAAUUAUUGCUCAUGAACCUGGAAUUCCUCGUAAGUACGAGUCACCAGCUCGUGCUGAAUACGUCUCUGCCCUUUGUACACACCGCCCGUCGCUACUACCGAUUGAAUGAUUCGGUGAGGGCAUGGGAUUGAUCGGUUUCGUUUA